rnacentral:rRNA from 1 species
GAUGAACGCUGGCGGCGUGCCUAAUACAUGCAAGUCGAGCGAACGGACGAGAAGCUUGCUCCUCUGAUGUUAGCGGCGGACGGGUGAGUAACACGUGGAUAACCUACCUAUAAGACUGGGAUAACUUCGGGAAACCGUAGCUAAUACCGGAUAAUAUUUUGAACCGCAUGGUUCAAUAGUGAAAGACGGUUUUGCUGUCACUUAUAGAUGGAUCCGCGCUGCAUUAGCUAGUUGGUAAGGUAACGGCUUACCAAGGCAACGAUGCAUAGCCGACCUGAGAGGGUGAUCGGCCACACUGGAACUGAGACACGGUCCUGACUCCUACGGGAGGCAGCAGUAGGGAAUCUUCCGCAAUGGGCGAAAGCCUGACGGAGCAACGCCGCGUGAGUGAUGAAGGUCUUCGGAUCGUAAAACUCUGUUAUUAGGGAAGAACAUAUGUGUAAGUAACUAUGCACAUCUUGACGGUACCUAAUCAGAAAGCCACGGCUAACUACGUG